GUGUGAUUGUUGCUCGUUUUUUUUUCAUUCAUAAUUGUGUUUUUUUUUACGAUGUGGUUACCUAUGAAAACACUGAAGGUUUAUCAAUCGAAACAACAAUAUUGUGACGUGAGAAUUAUCAUAGGUAGCAGUGCAUUCAUCAGACUAGCAAUGAAUACAACUCAUUUCCGGCUUGUUCGGACCGCACUGAGUUAAGCUCUUUAAAACCAAUGGCGGUCGACUUAAAAUAAAAGUAUAACAACUACAUAUGUAUAUGUAAACGGUAAAUAUUUUCAUCUAAAUAUUCGGAUGCUGUGUAAGGGAUUAUAAGCUUUAUUUGAUUGUGAAAUAAUACAUAAAAUAAGUAACAUCAAGGUAUAAUUAGUUUUAUUUUGUAUUUGUAUUAUUAUUAUUAUUAUUAUUAUUACUAUUAUAUAUGCAAUUGAGUGAACUACUCCUUACAAUUGAAAUCUAGUUUCAAGUUUAUAAUAUAAAUAAUAGAGAUUGUAUGCAAUCCGUUUUAUAUAUUUUUUUUUUAUUUUUCGUAAUUGUAUGUAAUGUUUAAUUAUGUUGUAAUUUUAUCAUUUGCUUCGCCCAGUAAUAAUAAUCUGCAAACAUUCAUUAGAACGACACUGAAAGUAUUCAGGCUUGAUGUUGUUGAUAUAAAUUUUUAAAGAUCAUUUUGAGCCAUUAUUAUUUAAUCCUUGCCAUUUUUUACUUCAGCUAGAUUAAAA